ACUGCUUCCAAAGUUAUAUUUUAGAUGAUUUUGGUUUUUCAAGAGUUAAGAUAAGCAGGCUGUGACACAGGCAUUUAAGAGAAACUCUUGUAAGCCACUUAAUUUGAAAGAUAGGUGUUUUAGAGGCAGGUGGAGUAAAAAAACGAUCCAUUGAGUUUCCAGAAUCCUGAGAUAUACAACACAAAAGAAACGAUGGCAAGAAUUCCAGGGCUUCGGGACAGACGUGUUCCCCCCUAACAAGCGCAGCGGCACGCCGUCGCCCCGCCGCGAGAGGACGCAGAGCCCACGGCCAGCAUCCCCCCGGGCCACACCUCUCAGCCUCAGACAAGUUCCCGAGGACGGAAAGGAAAUUUCAGGAUAGAAAUGAAGGGAAAAGGAAGAAAAAAACAAAUAAAGGAUAACACAAAGCAAGAUCAGUAAAAAGCAAGAAAAUAAGUUGACAGGACAAUGGGACAGGUAUGUUCCUGGCAGAAAAGAAGAAAAGAAAGUGUCCUAAACUAGGGACACA